GCUCGGGUAGCCCAAUGGCAGAGGCACGCCGCUCAGAACGGCGCCAGUGCGCGUUCGAAUCGCGCUCCGAGUAC
rnacentral:tRNA from 1 species